UCGGGAAUAUUGCGCAAUGGAGGGAACUCUGACGCAGUGACGCCGCGUAUAGGAAGAAGGUUUUCGGAUUGUAAACUAUUUUAGACAGGGAAGAAAAAAGACAGUACCUGUAGAAUAAGCUCCGGCUAACUACGUGCCAGCAGCCGCGGUAAUACGUAGGGAGCAAGCGUUAUCCGGAUUUAUUGGGUGUAAAGGGUGCGUAGACGGGAUAACAAGUUAGUUGUGAAAGCCCUCGGCUUAACUGAGGAACUGCAACUAAAACUAUUAUUCUUGAGUGCGGGAGAGGGAAGCGGAAUUCCUAGUGUAGCGGUGAAAUGCGUAGAUAUUAGGAGGAACACCAGUGGCGAAGGCGGCUUUCUGGACUGUAACUGACGUUGAGGCACGAAAGUGUGGGGAGCAAACA
rnacentral:rRNA from 1 species